rnacentral:lncRNA from 1 species
UUUUUUUUUUUUUUUUGGUCUUUUUAGAGCCAAACCCUUGGCAAAUGGAAGUUCCCAGGCUAGGGGUCAAAUCAGAGCUGCAGCUGCUGGCCUACACCACAGCCACAUCAACAUGGGAUCAGAGCCACAUCUGCAACCUACACCACAGCUCACGGCAACAAUGGAUCCUUAAGCCACUGAGUAAGGCCAGGAAUCAAACAAACAUCUUCAUGGAUACUAGUCGGGUUCAUUACCACUGGGCCUACAAAAUUAUUUGAUUCACCUCAAAGAACUUUAUUUCUCUGACCAUCUUUGAUUCCUGAGGGCCCAAUAGCUGUAUACAAUGGAUGUUCAAUAAAGUCUUUUCUUUUCUUUCUUUCUUUUUUUUUCUUUUUUUUUUUCUUUUGGCUUUUUAGGGCCACACCCAUAGCCUAUAGAGAUUCCCAGGCCAGGGUCAAACUGAUCAGAGCUGCAGCUGCUGGCCUACACCACGUCCACAGCAAUACAGGAUCAGAGCCAUGUCUUCAACCUACACCACAGCUCACAGUUGGAUCUUUAACACUGCAUCUUUAACCCACUGAGGGAAGCAGGGAUCGAACCCAUGUCCUCAUGGAUACUAGUUGGGUUAGUUAGUGCUGAGCCAUGAUGGGAACUCCAACUCUUAAUGAACAAUGAAUCAAGUCUUUCUCAUACCAACAAUAACAAGGGGAAAUAUCUUCCUAUUCUAUUCAAAUCAACAAACACAGCCUGCUAAGUUUCAGGAGUGAUCUAAAGUUAGAAGGGCUUUCACACAGUCAAGUUCACUUUCGUUUCUGCCGAGAUUCCCCAUGUGGAAAAGCUCCCAGAAAGGCUUUCUCCCAGAUAAGGAGAAAGAGAUGUCUAGACAAUUCCGCUUUAGCCUUCUGCUGGGAAAACCUCCAGCUAUCUCACUGAACCUCAUAUAACCAAGUCAUAGUUCACAUUUCACAGAUUCCUCACCAGGGUUUUGACAUCUUUGGAGAAGAGGGCUGGGGGAUGGGUGGGCAGACACUGUCUUUAGAGUGGUUUCUAACCUACCCUUAAGUACAAACAAUUCUAAGAAGGCUGGAAGGUCACUGGUCCCUGCGGUUGCCAAACAAAAAAAUAAAAAAAGGAGGUCUGUCCUAUGGAGAGUCUCCAAAAAAGUGAAAAAGAGCCUAAUCAUGAUUUAACUACAAUAUUUUACACUGUAAUCACAGAGGAGAAAACCACAGCAGAGAAAAUCUCCUGGGUUGCAAGCUGGAAUUGUGGAUCCCAUUGUCCAUACCAACAAACAAAAGAUUGCUCUUGAGCAAAACUGUACAGGAAAGUGGGAUCUUGGUACCCUUCACCCAUUUCAAUUCUCCCACAUCUCCCUAAAAUUUCCCCACCUUAGUGUGCCUAUAAUUUCCCCAUCCUUCCUCCUAUGGGGCUACAAGAGAAAAAACUCUGAGAAAUGAGUUUCAAAGCUCUGGUUAGGUGCAUUUUCUCCUUAUCUAUUAAUAACCAACCCAUGACUUACUGACUUUCUAUACCUUGUCCCUAAGCUGUAAGUUCUUGGUUGGACCCAUCUGUUGUUUUCAUGGUACUAGCAGCUCAGAGCAUAGUCUAUGUGUUACACGGCAGGCUUGUAAAUGCUGAGAGGCUAAAGAGAUGAAUUGGAUUCUUUUUUGGCUUUGAAAUAACAUUAAACCUAUAGAAAUGAAAGUCACCUUGAGCUUGGUGCUACUUGCCCAGCAUCUCUUUCCCCUUCCCUCUCUGAAUUCUUUCAGUGACCCAGCCCACCCCUUCCUGAGUGGUAGUUACUGUUGUUAUGUUAACCCAAGUUCUUCAAGCAACACUAAGCAUGAGUAAAUGUACUGUACACUGUCAGCACUGAAUAAAUUACUAGGAUCCUGAUGACUCCUUAUGUAAAUGAAGAAAAAUAUGUAAAAAAAAAAAUCCAUUGAAAAAUAAUGUGGACAUCCUGCAUGGCUAGCUUUAACAACAGAAAUGCCUUUGUGUAUGUGCUAGGCUGGGUAUGCUGGAAGCCCUUCUGGAGACAGUAAUGAGAUAAGGAAGGUCUAGUACCUGGAUAAGUACCUAGAUCAUGUCUCAAAAGGUACUUGUGAGAACAGGUAUCCUCAUUUUCAUUACAGUGGGGAGCUGAACUGAUAACACAGAACUUCAUCCACUCAAGUCACUUCACAUGUUGCGAAAAACAAGCUUCCAAAAAAGACAGUCUCCAUUCCUCUCCCCCCUGACCUUCCUGUCAGGCUUCCCUUAAUGAAGUUUCUGCCUGAUAAACAUCAUGAAUGUUCCAUUGUGUUGAGAAGAAAGAAGCUCACAUCAAAUUGCUUGGUCUGAGCUAAGCCCUUGGGGGCCACCUAAGCAAAUCCGCUAAGUUCUUUGGAAAAGGUUAUUUCUCCAACCGGGACAGUUUCCAUGAUUUGACUUGGCAUAAUAUUCAACAACAGGUUCUUCUUCUACUACUAUCUUUCUCAUAAUCAGUAGUUUCAGGACAAGAAGGAAGUAUAUUUGGCUUGUUUUUUCUCAUAAACACAACUCCAAACUAUGUUAUUCAAGUGUACUCAAGUUUUUCUGGGAACGAUACACACAAGCACACGUGCGCACACACAAACCAAAUGUACUUUCCAAAUUAUUUUUAAAAAAGAUAUACUUUGCGGAGUUCCUGUCGUGGCGCAGCAGAAACAAAUCCAUCUAGGAACCAUGAGGUUGCGGGACUGAUCCCUGGCCUCACUCAGUGGGUUAAGGAUCCGGUGUGAGCUGUGGUGUUAAGUCGCAGACAUGGCUCAGAUCUGGCAUUUCUGUGACUGUGGCGUAGGCUGGCAGCUGUAGCUCCAAUUAGACCCCUAGCCUGGGAACCUCCAUAUGCCGUGGGUGCAGCCCUAAAAAGCAAAAAAAAAGAUAUAUUUUGUUACAUCAAAAUAUUGAUGAAAAAGUCAUAACACAAUGGGCAGAGAAAUUAGGUUUCAUCUCAUUCAGGAAAGAAAAGAAAAGAUGUUAAAGGAAUAUCCAUUUUUUUCUUAAAUACCAUCUAUAAAAUAAUUACAUCAUUUGCUCCAAGAAUUCUGUCAUUAAAUAAUGACAACUCAGUGUAGAAAGGACAGCUCACAACUUCUCCAUAAUAGUUAUUUUCUAAUUUUAACAAGAGCCCUGUGCCCUUUUAUAGGUACUAAUUUAUUUAAAUUUCACAAUAAUCCUAAAUGAGAGUGGGAAAAAAAAUUCCAUGAGAGCAGAGAACUUUGCCAGCUCUUUCUUCCCACUCAUUUAUCUCAAGGUCUGGCACAGUGCCAGGCAUACAGUAGGUAAUUAAUAAAACCUGUUGAGGAGUUCUCGUCAUGGUGCAGCAGAAAUGAAUGAGACUAGGAACCAUGAGAUGGACACUUCAACUGAAGGUUUUCCAGCUUCCAGAUUGGGUCUGAGGGUAGGCUGGGGAGUUGGAGAGAGAAAUGAGGUGGACAAGAUGGAAAGGAAAUGUGAGAAUGAAAUUUUAGGCAUAGCCAUAAAUCAUCGAUAAAAGUAGAAAGUGGUGUAUCUUUGUAAAAGGGCAAUUUGGCAAUACUUAAUACCUUUUGAAACAGAAAAGACCACUAUUGGGAUUCUAUCCCAUAAAUACAAUUAUAUCUGCAUGAAGAUCAAGAUACAAAGAAUAUACUACUCAUUGCAACAUUAUUGGUAAAAACAAAAGGCUAGAAGAAUUUUAAUGCUCAUCUGCUAGGGGACCGGUCCAAUGAAUUAUGUAUGGAACACUGACAAGAGGGCGAACUCCAAGUCACUGAAAAGAAUGAAGCCAAUCUCAGUACUGAUGGAAAAACAGCUCCAAAAUAGAGUUGUAAAUCAUAUGGAGCAGUAACUGAUACGUAUAGACCACCAAAAAAUACACAGAGCUGGAGUUCCCUGGUGGCCUAGUGUUUAAGGAUGUGGCAUUGUCACUGCUGUGGCUAGGGUAACCACUGCACAAUUGGUUCGAUCCCUGGGUCAGGGGUAUAUAUGUAUACACACACACACACACACACACACACGUUAACAUAUAUGUGUAAACAUACAUGCACAUACACACACACAUACACAUAUAUACGUACUUUGUUUUCUAUAUAUAUUUUUUCUGUGUGUUUUUUUUAGGGCCAUACCCACAACAUAGGGAAGUUCCCAGGCUAGAGGUCAAAUCAGAACUGCAGCUGCUGGCCUGUGCUACAGCCACAGCAACACAAGAUUCAAGCCAUUUCCGCAACCUACACCACAGCUCAUGGCAACACUGGAUCCUUAACCCACUAGGUGAGGCCAGGGAUUGAACCCACAUCCUCAUGGAUACUAGUCAGGUUCGUUAUUGCUGUGCCACAAUGGGAACUCCCUGUGCAUUUUUAUUAAAGGAGGGACGGAAAGGGAAAAGGAAAGAGAACUUUUAUUUCUUGUUAUCUUUUCAAGGACAAACCUGUGGUAUACGGAAGUUCUUGGGUCAGGGGUCAAAUCAAAGCUGCAGCUGAGGCCUACACCAAAGGCACAGCAACACCAGAUCUGAGCCACAUCUGUGACCUAUGCCGCAGCUUGUGAAAACACUGGAUUCUUAACACACUGAGUGAGGCCAGGGAUUGAACCCGCAUCCUCACCAAGACGUCAGGUCCUUAACUACUGAGUCACAAUGGAAACUUGGGAAAAAACUAUGUUUGAAUUUCUAGAACCAAAAACUAUCAAAGGUGGUUGCAUCUGGAGAAAACCAGAGAAGACAAGGAACCACAGAUUUUUCACUUCUAUAUAUCUUUCUGUACUGUUUGAAUUUUUUAUUCCACAUCUACACUCCUUUUUCACUUUUAAAAGUAAAUGCAUAUGGAUAUUCUAAAUCAGACCAUUGAAAGGGUUACAAUAUAUUUGUAGUUUGUUUGUGAAUCUGUACUAAACUAUUUUUCUUAGGGGGCUGGGACCAUUAGUGGCAUAUGCUAAAAAAAAAUUUACAUUUGUAGAACACUUCAGUCACUUCUGUAGGUAUUAACUCCUCUUGAUUAAAAGCUCCAGGACUGAAAUUCCC